rnacentral:lncRNA from 1 species
AAAACUCUCAGCUCUUCCAGCUCUGCCUGCCUGAACGCUGCCAUGCUUCCUGCCUAGAUAAUAACGGAUUGAACCUCUAAACCUACAUGAUGGAGUCAUGGAGAGCAGCUAAGGCUUGGCACUGUGAGAGCCCAGGAGAGGCCUGGUGAAGGUACAGCCUCAGUUGCAGUUGACAACCCAGGACUGGAAGGGUCAUGCAAAGAAGUUGAGGCUUGGCACCAUGAAGAGAGCCUAUGAGAGGUUAUUGGUGAAGUAUAGUUGCAACAGUAGACCCUAGUGUUUUGGAGAUGCCAAUAUCAAGAACAGCGGCAGCAGUGGAAUGGAGUCAACCAGAGUGCAUAGUUAGAGAUGUGACCCAAGCCAUUUGGAGGAGACCAGAAACUGGAACAAGAAGCUGUAAUGUUGAAGUUGUCUUGGAGACCCCAAGAUGUUCGAGGUGCCAGGGCUGUGGUAUACCUGCUGAGGAAAGCUGCUAACAGCAAGUGGAACCAUCCAAAGAGAACUGUGCUGCAGUCAACAAAGCAGAAAGGAGUUGGACAUUAGACACGGAGGUGAUGAGUUUGGAGUUUGUCCAGCUGAAUUUUGGUCUUGCUUUGGUCUAUUAUUUCCUCAUAUGAAGUUUUGAAAUGGUAAUGUAUAUCAUGUGAUGUUGGAGGUAUGUGAUCUGCUUUUUUGAUUCUGAGUUUAUAAGGAGUUCCUUUUAAGUAAUUAGAUGAACCUCAGAAGAGAGUUUUAACAUUGGAAUUUUAACAUUGUUGAGACUAUGAUAGACUAUGGGGUCUUUUGAAGUUGGACUCAAUGUAUUUUGCAUUAUGCUAUGUUUAGGUAUGGCCCCCACAGACUCAUGUGUUUGAACAAGCCUAUGGGACCAAGGAGUGGACUGUGUCGGUUUGAAUAUGCUUGGCCCAAGGAGUGGCACAAUUAGGAUGUGUAACUUUAUUGGAGUAGGUGUAGCCUCAUUGGAGGAAGAGUGUCACUGUGGGGAUGGGUUUUGAGACCCUCCCCCUAGCUGCCUGGAAGCCAGUGUCCACCUGUUUGCCUUCAGAACAAGAUGUAGAACUCUUAGUUCUUCCAGUACCAAGCCUGCCUGGAUGCUGCCAUGCUUUCUGUCUUGAUGAUAUUGGACUAAAUGUCUCAACCUAUAAGCUAGUGCCAAUUAAGUCUUGUCCUUUAUAAAAGUUUCCUUGUUCAUGGUGUCUCUUCACAGCAGUGGAAUCUCUAAGACACUGUUAUUAAGUUAGGAAGAGAUCAAUCUUUGGAUACUUCAUACAUUCUUAAUGCCUACAUCUCUGGAGUGUUUGCUGUUAGAAAUGGUGACAAAUGCCUUUUCUGUCAUCUCAUCAAAAUGUAUUUUUAAAGGAACAAACCAAUUAAAAACAAAGAAAAUAUCUCAAAUUCUGUAAACUAAAAGACAAACACAGACUUGCAUUUGAAGGUAGUUUGGACAGGGUUAUAUUUCUGUAAAUAUUCUUAUUGUAGGUUCUUGAUUUUUUUUAAUCUAUACUUGUGAUCUAUUUUAUAACUUCUCUCUUGUAUGAUCUUUUGUUUUCCUUGGAUUUAAUCUUCAGGUUGUUUCUCUCUUUGGGAAACUGGUUGCAAGGGUUUACCUAUUUUAUGUUCUGACAGUUGCAGAGACUAGACCAAGGUAGUUAAGACACCUCUUUCAGCUCUCUGCUGCUCUGGUUCCUGGCCUAGCCCUCAGGCCAGCAGGCCUUUCCAGAUUUCGAGCUUAAACAGCCUGGGCUUCCAGACCCUUAAAUCUCUAAAGGGAAAGUGAGCCAUUCUCUAGAACCUAGCCCUGCCAUAGAGCCUUUCAUCCCUACAGAGCCAAGAGCCAGGGGUGGGUCUGCUUGUUUUCAGCCUGAGGGUGAGGGAAGGAGUUUGGACUGAUCCAAUAGCAGAGGAUUUAGGGCAUUGUUAUGUAUUUAUACUUGCACCACUCACAAAGUACAGCUUUAUCUCAGAACGUCCUAGAAGUCCCUUAAUCCCAUCCAGAUCAUAGUCUAGAUUUAGCAUUCCAAACUCAUGUUGAACUUUAUAUAAAUGAUUACUUUGGCUGAAGAAAUACCUUAAAACUCAAGGUACCAAAUUUAAAAUGGUCCAGGCCACAUUGUGAUUUUUAGAAGGAAACUGGGAAUUUUAUGUUGGUGCUCAAGAGGCAUAUAUACAUUUCCACAUAGAGGAGAAGUAAGAUGAUAAGAAUCUAUAAUAUGCUUUAAUACUACAAAGCAUAAUUUUCUGAAAUCUCUCCUUUAAAUGUUGGGUUUUAUGUCUUUUUUUAAAAAGUUUUCUGACCUUUUCAUUCUGUGAAGCAAGGCAACCGCUCAUACUGCAACUUAAUGUUUAGUCCCCUUUCUUGCUUUAUGAGUCUUUGGUCAGAAAUGACUAUAAUAUUGGUUGCUAGGGAAGAAGUCACCUUCGUUAUUUCCCAUUUUCUUUUUGUACUGUUUGUUGCUGAGAACCAGCCCAGUACCAUGUACUGAGGAAAAUUGCAAUGGGUAGGGUUGGUGGUUUCAGGGGCAAAACUUGGUUUUGCAAGGGCAAAGGUUGCUUACUUUUAGUAGUACUUACCUUACUUAACUCUUUGCUAUUCAUAGACCAAAAGCUGUUGGCAUCUGGUAAUUAACUCAGCACACACACACACAUGACACACAUGCACACACACUCUGGUUAGGCCCAACCACCUGUCCCAUCAACUCCACAUGUGUUCAUGCAUACACACACACACACACACACACACAUAUAUAUAUAUAUAUAUAUAUAUUUGUGAUAUAUACAUAUAUUAGGUGGAUAUAUAUAUGUAUAUUUGUAAUAUGUAUAUAUAUAUAUAUAUAUAUAUACAUAUAUAUGGUGGAUGGAGCAAAAGCAACUUCCAAUGAGCAAGUUUCAACACAGAAAAAACUCUCACUCAUUCUAGAUGAAAAAGGAACUCCAACCUUUACUGCUCAAAGAAAAAGCUUUACCUUUUUAUUUCUGAAUGUAAGAAAAAAAGACUUCACCGUUAUUGCUGGAAAAAAAGCUUCUACCUUUUUAUUGUUGC